rnacentral:lncRNA from 1 species
AUUUAUGGCAAGCCGUUCUCGUCAAAACUAUGUUUAAACCCUUUUUUCGAAAAAAAAUACACACUGAGAUUUAAAAACCUAAAAUAACACACUGAGAAAUCGAAAUUACACACUGAGAUUUAAAAAAAUAAAAAACACACACUGAGAAUUCAAAAUUACACACUGAGAUUUUAAAAAGACACACUGAGAUGAAAUAAAUUGAAAAACACACACUGAGAAUUGUUAAUUACACACUGAGAUUUCAAAAAUACACACUGAGAA